rnacentral:lncRNA from 1 species
GGGGUUAGCAACAGAGGUUGUUAAUAACAGUGGAUUAGCAGCAGAGGUGGUUAGUUAACAGUGGAUCAACAACAAAGGUUGUUAAUAACAGUGGAUUAGCAGCAGAGGUGGUUAGCUAACAGUGGAUCAGCAACAGAGGUUGUUAGUUAACAGGGGUUAGCAACAGAGGUUGUUAGUUAGUUGGGCGGUUACCUGAAUAUCAGGAGUUUAAGAACAUGGAAGCAUCCCAGAAAUCGUUCCCACGCUCAUCUUCUUCAAUCUUCCAUGGUGGCUAAGGUAAGAUUAUGUUUUCAACGCUUAUCUCUCCAAGCAAUUUUUCUAUUUUUCGUUUGAUUUUUUUACUAAUUGGCGAUCGUGUGAAGUUAAUACAAUAAUUUAAAGUGAUGAAAGGAUAUCAAAUGAAGCAGAAUGUGAAAAUCAGUAGACUAGAGCAAGAAUUGGUUUGAUUCCGUUGGCAAGGAUGACCCCAAUUGAAGAUGAUGAUUAAAAUGGGGAAGGAGUGGAGGAGUUGAUUAAUUGAUUUCCUCUCUCAAAUCUCAACAUCACUGUAAGUUCAAUCUAAUCAUCUCAUCAAUCGAUUGAUUGAUUCUUUUCACCUGGUUGGUAUUAAAUCCCACCACCCCUGCUCUAGUUAUGUAUGGUUGAAGGUUGUGUUGAAAGAGUUCCGAUAUGUCUUCUUUGUUCGAUCACCUCGAACAAAAAACCUCUUCUCAAAUCCCGAAUCAUUCAAUUUCCUCUCUUAAUUCUCUCGGGCUCUGAUUUUGGGGGUUCUUGGUGAUAUAGUCGACUGUCAUGGAACCGAAUUUGGGAGUUCUUGGUGGUAUAUUGGGCUGUCAUGGGAGAAGAAGGCGUGUAUCAGGAAGCAAGGCAUUCACUGUCAAUUAGGUGAAAGAGGAAGUUGAAUCAGCAAUAUAAAAACAUAUAGCUGGUGGAAUGACAAUUUCUUCACUUGAGAUCAAUCAUCUUGAUCGUUAUGUGCUUUCUAUAGCAUAUACUUUUACUCAGACUAGACUAUAUGAUGGCCUUGUAAGAAACCAUUUACAUAUUAAGCCACUGACCAGGGAAGAACGUCAACAUCACCUAUUCCCAGAGCAAAUAAGCACAACUCCGACAAAACAUGCUGAGUAAUGAAUUCAAGGUUGGUGCUUACAAGGUGUUGCGUGAUGGGAUGGGAAGAAGGUGAAGAAGGGCUUGGGAAGGAGAAACAAGGGAUCAAAGGUCAUGUUAAGGUUACUAGCAUGUUUGGGGAUUUUGGAAAAGCCGAAACGAGCUAGUGUUUUCUAGAAAAAGGCUGAACAUCGAUCGAGUAUUUGCAGAGAUUCAGGCCAUGGCGUUUCUGUGGUUUAAGAAUAGGGCGAAAUAAAGGAUUGUUAACUUUUUUUGACAGGGCAUAUGGGCUGAAUGAUGCAAUGUAAGAACAUCUGUUUAAUUUAAGAAGCUUCAGAUGCAAUGUAAGAGCAUCGAUUUAUUAGAAAUUAUAUAUUAUUAUUAUUUUAGCAUGGACUUGAAUGAUGCAAGUUCUUUUUUAAAGGUUUUCAGUAUGUAUUACUUGAUGAGAUCAAAAGGACUGUUAACUUUUCUUGACAGUGCAUAUGGGGUCAAUAUAAAAUUUUAGUCUUUCUAAGGUGUAUUUCUACAUGUGAGGUGUGUUCCUCUACUGUAAAUUUUCUUAUGAGAAAGAUGUUUGCAUUGCUAAUAUGUUUAUUUCCUUUUAACAGGUCUGCGGACCACCAAAUUAUUAUG